UGCUUUGUAGCUCAGUCGGGUAGAGCAGCCGAUCAAACAUCGGCCGGGCGCAGGUUCGAUUCCUGCCAAAGUAACC
rnacentral:tRNA from 1 species